GAGCUUGCUCCCGGAUGUUAGCGGCGGACGGGUGAGUAACACGUGGGUAACCUGCCUGUAAGACUGGGAUAACUCCGGGAAACCGGAGCUAAUACCGGAUAGUUCCUUGAACCGCAUGGUUCAAGGAUGAAAGACGGUUUCGGCUGUCACUUACAGAUGGACCCGCGGCGCAUUAGCUAGUUGGUGGGGUAAUGGCUCACCAAGGCGACGAUGCGUAGCCGACCUGAGAGGGUGAUCGGCCACACUGGGACUGAGACACGGCCCAGACUCCUACGGGAGGCAGCAGUAGGGAAUCUUCCGCAAUGGACGAAAGUCUGACGGAGCAACGCCGCGUGAGUGAUGAAGGUUUUCGGAUCGUAAAGCUCUGUUGUUAGGGAAGAACAAGUGCGAGAGUAACUGCUCGCACCUUGACGGUACCUAACCAGAAAGCCACGGCUAACUACGUGCCAGCAGCCGCGGUAAUACGUAGGUGGCAAGCGUUGUCCGGAAUUAUUGGGCGUAAAGGGCUCGCAGGCGGUUUCUUAAGUCUGAUGUGAAAGCCCCCGGCUCAACCGGGGAGGGUCAUUGGAAACUGGGAAACUUGAGUGCAGAAGAGGAGAGUGGAAUUCCACGUGUAGCGGUGAAAUGCGUAGAGAUGUGGAGGAACACCAGUGGCGAAGGCGACUCUCUGGUCUGUAACUGACGCUGAGGAGCGAAAGCGUGGGGAGCGAACAGGAUUAGAUACCCUGGUAGUCCACGCCGUAAACGAUGAGUGCUAAGUGUUAGGGGGUUUCCGCCCCUUAGUGCUGCAGCUAACGCAUUAAGCACUCCGCCUGGGGAGUACGGUCGCAAGACUGAAACUCAAAGGAAUUGACGGGGGCCCGCACAAGCGGUGGAGCAUGUGGUUUAAUUCGAAGCAACGCGAAGAACCUUACCAGGUCUUGACAUCCUCUGACAACCCUAGAGAUAGGGCUUUCCCUUCGGGGACAGAGUGACAGGUGGUGCAUGGUUGUCGUCAGCUCGUGUCGUGAGAUGUUGGGUUAAGUCCCGCAACGAGCGCAACCCUUGAUCUUAGUUGCCAGCAUUCAGUUGGGCACUCUAAGGUGACUGCCGGUGACAAACCGGAGGAAGGUGGGGAUGACGUCAAAUCAUCAUGCCCCUUAUGACCUGGGCUACACACGUGCUACAAUGGACAGAACAAAGGGCUGCAAGACCGCAAGGUUUAGCCAAUCCCAUAAAUCUGUUCUCAGUUCGGAUCGCAGUCUGCAACUCGACUGC
rnacentral:rRNA from 1 species